CCGGAUUUUUCUAUUUAAUAAGUUAAUUGUUAUUAAAGACCAAAUAAGAUCGUCUGUUUUUGCUUUGUUCUUCUCCCGAUCUUUAUGUAAACAAAGCGAAAUUUGUGAUUUACAUGCCAUGAAUAUCAAUACUUAUUGAACUCUCCCAGAAGGAAAUAUUGAUUUCUAAAUAGUUGAAUAUAUUAUAAAGCACAUAAUAUUUGUAGAAACUGUGAACAAUGUACAUUUAUCAUUAUUGACACUUAAUUUUGUUGGAAGGAAUUGUAAUUUCUUGUGUAUUUUGCUGUGAAUAUAAUGAAUCCAAUGUUUAUACUUGUUGCGAACCUUUAAUUUCUUGGUUAGUGACCCCGUUCUCCUAUCCACCAGGUUUGUGGGUGCUUUGAGUAAUCAUGGGUUUUUGGAAGGGUGGGGCCAACAGGUCACUUAAACUGCUGUUGGUUUCUGCUUGUCUGUAAACACAAAUGCAUGAUAUACAAUUGUCUACAAUUUGCAUAUUGUACUGUGUGCACAAUAAGUGAUUCCUUGAGUAGCUAUAAAAAAAAAGGGUCAGCAAGCAUCCUCCUGAUAUAUUCUGGCAAGAACUGGGAUCGGAGUAUCAUUAAUGUAUAUAUCAUAUCAUAGCUAGAACUAAACCACAACUGCCUUCAAACUGUUUCAAACGAUCAUACUUUAAGCCCCGAAAAGAAGCAUCAUGGCCUGCUGAUCUUGAAGUUUUGGGAUGUCAUCAUCUUGAGACAAACUGAACAUUCAGAACUGUUAUUGAUCUGCUUCAAUAUGCUUGAUUGUUGUGAAUCUGAUAUUUGGUUUAUGUGGCUUUAGGUACUCUGUUUUCAGUGGGUUAAAGCAGAAGGAAUAUAAUACAACUUUAAAAUGGUCUUUAGCAAUGAUUUUUUUUGAGUUGUAUGUAGCUAAUGUUUUACAUGUCAGAAAUGUGACCAAUGCUAAUGGCUCAGAAACAUUACAUAAGGUCAGUACUGAAGCUGUUGAAUUUCCUUGUGUUUUAAAUUGGGCUCGCCUUAUUAAAAAUCUUAAAUACAGUACAUUUGUAUGACUGAUAUGAUAAAUACUGAUGUUAAUUGUCAAUCAUUGAAGCAUUGUUAUUUUUAAAAUUAUUUUUCCCGGUGGUCACUCCUUUUGUUUCCAGCUAUUGUUCACGUAACAAUAAACCACACUGCAGUUUGAUAAGGAGCCUAUGAAAUGUUGAUAUGGAUUUUGUUGCAGUGGUAAUGCAUAGUUUAAAUAGCUGCCAAGGGAUAAAUAUAUAUUGCCGAUAGAUCACUACUUUGGGCGCAAGAAGAAUUGCUACUCUGUUGCUAUUAAGUAUGUGCAUAGAGCUCUUCGUUACUCUACACUCGCUCGAAGGUUGAAGAAAUUAGACGUAAAAGCUGUAAGUAUGAGUUAUUGUUAAUGGAUUAUCUUUAUGUAAAAUGAAAAUGGUUUGAAAUAAUUAGAUGAAACCCGGUAGAGUUAUAGAUUAUUAAUUUGCAUGUUCUUUUGCAUAAAGCAGUCUAAGUUGCACCCCAAGUGGGUUAAUCAACCCUUCCUCCCAUAAGUCAGAUAUUAAAGAUAAAAUUUUGAUAGGUCUUGCUACAUUUCCAGAGCAAUAACCAC